rnacentral:rRNA from 1 species
UACGAAGGGGGCUAGCGUUGCUCGGAAUUACUGGGCGUAAAGGGCGCGUAGGCGGCUCUGUUAGUCAGGCGUGAAAGCCCUGGGCUCAACCUGGGGACUGCGCUUGAUACGGCGGGGCUUGAGGGCAGGAGAGGCUCGCGGAAUUCCCAGUGUAGAGGUGAAAUUCGUAGAUAUUGGGAAGAACACCGGUGGCGAAGGCGGCGAGCUGGCCUGUUACUGACGCUGAGGCGCGACAGCGUGGGGAGCGAACAGG